AGGACGAACGCUGGCGGCGUGCCUAACACAUGCAAGUGGAGCGACGAACCAGGCUUCGGCCUGGGGCAAAGCCGCGAACGGGUGAGUAACACGUGGGUAACCUGCCUCGAUGAUUGGGACAACCCGAGGAAACUCGGGCUAAUACCGAAUGUGCCCUCCGGCCAUAAGGCUGCUGGGGAAGGAAGCUUCGGCCUCCGCAUCGAGAUGGGCCCGCGGCCUAUCAGCUUGUUGGUGAGGUAACGGCUCACCAAGGCGACGACGGGUAGCCGGCCUGAGAGGGCGACCGGCCACGACUGGGACUGAGACACGGCCCAGACUCCUACGGGAGGCAGCAGUGGGGAAUAUUGCGCAAUGGGCGAAAGCCUGACGCAGCGACGCCGCGUGGGGAUGAAGGCCUUCGGGUUGUAAACCCUUUCAGCAGGGACGAAGCGAAAGUGACGGUACCUGCAGAAGAAGCGCCGGCUAACUACGUGCCAGCAGCCGC
rnacentral:rRNA from 1 species